rnacentral:rRNA from 1 species
GGUUUGAUUAUGGCUCAGAUUGAACGCUGGCGGAUGCUUUAUACAUGCAAGUCGGCACCCGCAGCACGGACUUCGGUCUGGUGGCGAGUGGCGAACGGGUGAGUAAUGUAUCGGAACGUGCCUAGUAGCGGGGAUAACUACGCGAAAGCGUAGCUACUGCACACGCCCUUCGGGGGAAAGCGGGGACCUUUCGGGCCUCGCACUGUUAGAGCGCCGGGAUAUCGGAUUAGCUAGUUGGUGGGGUAACGGCUCACCACAGUUAGCGACGAUCCGUAGCUGGUUUGAGAGGACGACCAGCCACACUGGGACUGAGACACGGCCCAGACUCCUACGGGAGGCAGCAGUGGGGAAUUUUGGACAAUGUGGAAGUUCUGAUCCAGCCAUCCGCGUGUGCGAUGAAGGCCUUCGGGUUGUAAAAGCACUUUUGGUAAGAGAAAGAAACGGCACGGGAUAAUACCCCGUGCAACUGACGGUACCUGCAGAAUAAGCACCGGCUAACUACGUGCCAGCAGCCGCGGUAAUACGUAGGGUGCAAGCGUUAAUCGGAAUUACUGGGCGUAAAGCGUGCGCAGGCGGUUCGAAAGAAAGAUGUGAAAUCCCAGAGCUUUAACUUUGAACUGUAUUUUUUAACUACCGAGCUAGAGUGUGUCAGAGGAGGUGGAAUUCGCGUGUAGCAGUGAAAUGCGUAGAUAUGCGGAGGAACACCGAUGGCGAAGGCAGCUCUCCUGGGAUAACACUGACGCUCAUGCACGAAAGCGGGGAGCAAACAGGAUUAGAUACCUAGCCACGCCCUAAACGAUGUCAACUAGCCGUUGGGGCCUUCGCUCCGUAGCAGCUAACGCGUGAAGUUGACCGCCUGGGGAGUACGGUCGCAGAUUAAACUCAAAGGAAUUGACGGGGACCCCGCACAAGCGGUGGAUGAUGUGGAUUAAUCUGAUGCAACGCGAAAACCUUACCUACCCUUGACAUGUCUGGAAUCCCGAAGAGAUUUGGGAGUGCUCGCAAGAGAACCGAACACAGGUGCUGCAUGGCUGUCGUCAGCUCGUGUCGUGAGAUGUUGGGUUAAGUCCCGCAACGAGCACAACCCUUGCUGCUAGUUACAUGAAAGGGCACUCUAAUGAGACUGCCGGUGACAAACCGGAGGAAGGUGGGGCGACGUCGGUCCUCAUGGCCCUUAUGGGUAGGGCUUCAAGCACGUCAUACAAUGGUCGGGACAGAGGGUCGCCAACCCGCGAGGGGGAGCCAAUCCCAGAAACCCGAUCGUAGUCCGAUCGCAGUCUGCAACUCGACUGCGUGAAGUCGAAUCUCGCUAGUAAUCGCGGAUCAGCAUGUCGCGGUGAAUACGUUCCCGGGUCUUGUACACACCGCCCGUCACACCAUGGGAGUGGGUUUUACCAGAAGUAGUUAGCCUAACCGUAAGGAGGGCGAUUACCACGGUAGGAUUCAUGACUGGGGUGAAGUCGUAACAAGGUAG